CGGUCUGCUUAACACAUGCAAGUCGAACGAAGUCUUCGGACUUAGUGGCGGACGGGUGAGUAACACGUGAGAAUCUGCCUUCAGGUCGGGGAUAACAGUUGGAAACGACUGCUAAUACCGGAUGUGCCUUCGGGUGAAAGAUUUAUCGCCAGAAGAUGAGCUCGCGUCUGAUUAGCUAGUUGGUGGGGUAAAAGCCUACCAAGGCGACGAUCAAUAGCUGGUCUGAGAGGAUGAGCAGCCACACUGGGACUGAGACACGGCCCAGACUCCUACGGGAGGCAGCAGUGGGGAAAUUUCCGCAAUGGGCGAAAGCCUGACGGAGCAAGACGCGUGAGGGAGGAAGGCCUUUGGGUUGUAAACCUCUUUUGUCAGGGAAGAAAUUAUGACGGUACCUGACGAAUCAGCCUCGGCUAACUCCGUGCCAGCAGCCGCGGUAAUACGGAGGAGGCAAGCGUUAUCCGGAAUCAUUGGGCGUAAAGCGUCAGUAGUGGCCAAGUAAGUCUGCUGUCAAAGACCACAGCUUAACUGUGGAAAGGCAGUGGAAACUGCCUGGCUAGAGUACGGUAGGGGUAGAGGGAAUUCCAGGUGUAGCGGUGAAAUGCGUAGAGCUCUGGAAGAACACCGGUGGCGAAAGCGCUCUACUGGGCCGUAACUGACACUGAGGGACGAAAGCUAGGGGAGCGAAAGGGAUUAGAUACCCCUGUAGUCCUAGCCGUAAACGAUGGAUUCUAGGUGUAGCACGUAUCGACCCGUGCUGUAUCGGAGCCAACGCGUUAAGUUUCCCGCCUGGGGAGUACGCGCGCAAGCGUGAAACUCAAAGGAAUUGACGGGGGCCCGCACAAGCGGUGGAGUAUGUGGGUUAAUUCGAUGCAACGCGAAGAACCUUACCAGGGCUUGACAUGUCGCGAAUCUGGGGGAAACCU
rnacentral:rRNA from 1 species